rnacentral:rRNA from 1 species
GACGAACGCUGGCGGCGUGCUUAACACAUGCAAGUCGAACGGUGAAGCGCCUUCCUUUUUGGUGGGUGUGGAUGAGUGGCGAACGGGUGAGUAACACGUGAGUAACCUGCCCCCUUCUUCUGGAUAACCGCAUGAAAGUGUGGCUAAUACGGGAUAUUCUGGGUCUGUCGCAUGAUGGGUCUGGGAAAGAUAUUGUUUCGGUGGGGGAUGGGCUCGCGGCCUAUCAGCUUGUUGGUGGGGUGAUGGCCUACCAAGGCGGUGACGGGUAGCCGGCCUGAGAGGGUGGACGGGCACACUGGGACUGAGACACGGCCCAGACUCGUACGGGAGGCAGCAGUGGGGAAUAUUGCACAAUGGGCGCAAGACUGAUGCGGCGACGCCGCGUGAGGGAUGGAGGCCUUCGGGUUGUGAACCUCUUUCGCCAGUGAAGCAGGCCUGCCUCGUUUGUGGGUGGGUUGACGGUAGCUGGAGAAGAAGCGCCGGCUAACUACGUG